GAUGAACGCUAGCUACAGGCUUAACACAUGCAAGUCGAGGGGCAGCAUGGAAGAAGCUUGCUUCUUCUGAUGGCGACCGGCGCACGGGUGCGUAACGCGUAUCAAACCUGCCUCAUACUCGGGGAUAGCCUUGCGAAAGUAAGAUUAAUACCCGAUGUUGUUGCUUUCUCGCAUGGGAGAGUAACCAAAGAUUUAUCGGUAUGAGAUGGUGAUGCGUCCGAUUAGGUAGUAGGCGGGGUAACGGCCCACCUAGCCUUCGAUCGGUAGGGGUUCUGAGAGGAAGGUCCCCCACACUGGAACUGAGACACGGUCCAGACUCCUACGGGAGGCAGCAGUGAGGAAUAUUGGUCAAUGGGCGAGAGCCUGAACCAGCCAAGUAGCGUGCAGGAUGACGGCCCUCCGGGUUGUAAACUGCUUUUAGUUGGGAAUAAAAAAAGGGACUUGUCUCUUCUUGUAUGUACCUUCAGAAAAAGGACCGGCUAAUUCCGUGCCAGCAGCCGCGGUAAUACGGAAGGUCCAGGCGUUAUCCGGAUUUAUUGGGUUUAAAGGGAGCGUAGGCGGAUUGUUAAGUCAGCGGUUAAAGGGUGUGGCUCAACCAUGCAUUGCCGUUGAAACUGGCGAUCUUGAGUGCAGACAGGGAUGCCGGAAUUCGUGGUGUAGCGGUGAAAUGCUUAGAUAUCACGAAGAACUCCGAUCGCGAAGGCAGGUGUCCGGGCUGCAACUGACGCUGAGGCUCGAAAGUGUGGGUAUCAAACAGG
rnacentral:rRNA from 1 species